rnacentral:lncRNA from 1 species
AUGAACUGUGCUCUUGAAGCAUCCUUUUCGGAGACGGCUGCAGGAGCUGGCACAUGGUCCAAUGCUCUGGGAGCAGGAUUUUGGGAUCUUGCUGUGCUGAAGGUGACUGCAGGACGGGACUGCCAAGCAUCCUCUGAUGCCGAUUCUUGCUCCAGUUACUGGUGCAAGCUGCUCACACAGGUCCACUGCCUGUGCUGCUGGAUGGACACCUUGGGACUCCAGACAAAGACUCUUCCUCAUUUAUUUCCAAAACUACAGCGUUGGUGCUCAGGAGCUGAAAGGCAUCCCAGAACUGAACAUUUCACAGAUGAAGAGAGAACUGUGCUUUAUAGCAGACUUGAGGAGUUCAUAGGAACAGGCUGUGUUUUUGCUCUAAUUGAAGAGAGCAAAGCAACCACAGUUCAAGAGAUCCACCACUCAUCUGCCCACUGCUUCCUGAGCACGUGAGACUCUUCAACACAAGCACCACAAACAGCAACAACAAAAAGAAUCCUACAGGAGCCUUUUAAAGUUGGUACCAUCAGCAAGGUGUGCCUGUUGUGAUGCAAACUGACCUGGCCUAACUUCCCAGCUCCACAUACUGCUUUAAAAAAUUCUAUAUAAAAUAUAGAUAUAUAUAAAAUAGGGCCUCAAUAUAAAAAAAAAUACUCAAGACAUCAGAUAAGCCAUGGUAUAAACCAGCCACAAUUCCAUUAGAAGCCUGUUCUUUUGUCCCUUUCAGAGUAUUUUUCCUUUAACUAUGUGAUUAAUAAUAUUAUGUGUUGAUAAAAGGUCAGGAAAGUGGCAGCUUCCAAUCCACCCAAAGGUAUUGAUGCUGCUGCUCCUGGAAUUCAUCUUGUGUGUGUCUCUCAUGUGUGUUCCAUGCUGCAGUGCUGGAGAUAUUUGAGGUUAAGAACUCAGAUAACCUACAAGAACAUGGGAAAAAAGAAUCCUGUCCCUGUGCAAUGCAGGAGAACAGGCCAGGAUUCGCUUCAGGCAAAGUCCAAAUGAGAGGCUCCCAAGGGACAGAAAAUAAAGUGAAGGCUGCAUGGUUCA